UAUAAUAUCGAUAUGGUUUUAUUAACCAUAAUAAAAUUAAUCGAAAUAAAAUGUAAAGAAUAAACUCAUUAUACUUUUCGAGAAAAAACGUGUGAAAUUUCGAAAAAAACUGCGGGUUUGAUCUCGAUUUAUAAUGACUUUAAUAUCGAUAUGGUUUUAUUAUUUUGUUAUUGCCCAAAUAACUCGAUCAAAUGAACACUAAAAGAAAAACUUCAGAUCUGAAUUUAGCAAAUGUCAAGAUUUAUGUAAUAAAAGCAGUCGAUCGUCUCUUGCAGCUGAAUCUGUUGAAGCAGAAAGCAGGCUUCAGUUUUGAAGGCCCAACCAAACGCGGUGGAAUUCAACUUUAAUGGCGGUUGAGAGAAUCCUCCAAAUUUGCGAAAAAGCAGCAGAAGUCACUCAGAAUACGCACGUCUCUUCAGCAGGAAAUGGUUGUGCUGGAGAGAGAAGCGUCGUCCCUUUGACUAGUAGAAACACAUCAGUAAAGAGAGACAACGAGCGCUUAUCAACUUUUUCAGCAGUAGAUGAGAACAGGGAAGACGUCCAUCAUUGCUGGAUAGAUCAGCGUCCGAUCAAUAUUCUCCGAGUCAAACCGCUGUAGUAUGGCGUCUCUUUGAGCUUCAGUGAUGUUGAUCUGAAAAUGGAAAGCGUCGCAGGAGGCGUGGAGGGGUUGCUGUCAAACUGAAAAUGGAUUUGCACUCAGGCCGGGUCUCCAGCUUUUUCCGUGUGGCUCGGUACCUGGGAGGUCGUGGCCGCUGUGCUGUCUGGCGCUCGCUGGAUUGUUCUCCCAGCUGGUUUCGACCCAUCUUUAUUAAUUCUACUUCUACGACAUCCCACUAUUCAUCUCUCCAUGUUCAUCAAGGUGGAGUUAAUCAUCAGAAUCUUCGCACUCUGAACAGAGCCUCAAGCAACAAUUAAACAAUGAAACCACAAAUGAAACGAUAAUAAUGAAAAAUGUCUUACUCUGCUUCAGCCUUCUGAAGAAAUGACCGGUUAUCAUAUUCCCGCCGUUGAAAGGAGCGUUCCUCCUGCUGUGGCACCCCGACACCUUCAGAAAAACACAUUUGUUUCAUGUAUUAAGGAGUGUUUCAAUUGAAUCAUUGGGGACUGAGCACUAGGGCUAUGAUGGUGGCCGUAACAACCGCGUCACCUAAUUUAGAAUUUAAAUUUUCGCUUAAUAUUUAAUUUAAUUGGGUUUAAUCGGGUUCAUUAUAUAUACUGAUGUUUAUUUCAAUGUUUUAUAUGGUGUUGUGCGGCAUUUUACUGAUGGUUUUCAAAAAGUAUUAAAAUAAGCUUUAAGUCUC